rnacentral:rRNA from 1 species
CUACGGAGGUGCAAACGUUGCUCGGAAUCAUUGGGCGUAAAGCACACGUAGGCGGCCAAGUAAGUUGGAUGUGAAAGCCCAGGGCUCAACCCUGGAAGUGCAUCCAAAACUGCAUGGCUUGAGUGCCGGAGGGGCUCAGAGAAUUCCCGGUGUAGAGGUGAAAUUCGUAGAUAUCGGGAGGAAUACCAGUGGCGAAGGCGCUGGGCUGGACGGUAACUGACGCUGAGGUGUGAAAGCGUGGGGAGCAAACAGGAUUAGAAACCCCAGUAGUCC